AACUCAUCAUUUCAUCUCAGUUGGGGUGAUUUUGCAUGUGAAAUAGAGGGAACUGGUAUUUUGGCUGUUGCAAAAGUCCUUGCAAAUACUAGCAGUGUUUCACUAGAAAAUCUUGCUAUUGUGUUCUCAGUUUCACUGAGCCUUUUAGUAUUUUAGUAAAAUUCUUAGAGAGGUUUAGGUAUGAUGCAAAAUUUGUUUCCCUAGUUUUUCCCCUCUUUGCCUUUUCCCUUCAGGUUAUUGAUGCUGUUACACAUCAACUUCGCAACCCUUCUUUUCCUGGCUGGCUUUCUUUGUGUUUAGAUCUUUCUCCAAGAAAUCUGGAAAGAUGCACUCAUCUAUUUUCCUUCCAAGCAGAAGAACAAAAGCGCAAAAUGAGUGGUGUAUUCCCUGCUGAUUUCACAACUUGAACCAAUAUUUUUCACAGUGUUUAUGGAAGCCUUCCUCCAGAGACACCUGCCAGAUCUUGAUCCCUGCUCGAAGCCUCACUGCUGUGGCUAUGCACUGCUGUGGAUUACUGGGAUAAGAAGUGACCUUGGAAAAUGUGACUGCAAGUGGUUACUCCUAGCUGGUGAGCUACAGUUUAGAUCAGUAGUUCAGAAGAGGAUGAAAAAUACUAUUUCUAGUAUCUAUGGCUGGUAAGUGAGGAAUGAAAUAAUGAAUUGUCCUGGCUGUGCUCUGAAGUCUGUGGCAAAGCUAAAAUUUUAAAUUGUGUGUUCUGACUCAGCUAUCAGAUACAACUCCUUGCCUGGGUGUUCAGAUGUACAAAACAAUUUUUGAUAUACUGAGUAGUUUGAAUGUCACCUAACAAAGCAAGUUCUCUUCUUGUUUUGACAUGAACAACUGAGAUUUCCUCUUUUGCCCACAGACUUCAUUAACUAUGUGGCUUUUUUAAUCACCAGGCACUCACCCAAAAUAGCC
rnacentral:lncRNA from 1 species